rnacentral:rRNA from 1 species
GAUGAACGCUGGCGGCGUGCUUAACACAUGCAAGUCGAACGGAAAGGCCAGUGCUUGCACUGGUACUCGAGUGGCGAACGGGUGAGUAACACGUGGGUGAUCUGCCCUGCACUUCGGGAUAAGCCUGGGAAACUGGGUCUAAUACCGGAUAGGACAAUGGUUUGGAUGCCGUUGUGGAAAGUUUUUUCGGUGUGGGAUGAGCUCGCGGCCUAUCAGCUUGUUGGUGGGGUAAUGGCCUACCAAGGCGUCGACGGGUAGCCGGCCUGAGAGGGUGUACGGCCACAUUGGGACUGAGAUACGGCCCAGAGUCCUACGGGAGGCAGCAGUGGGGAAUAUUGCACAAUGGGCGCAAGCCUGAUGCAGCGACGCCGCGUGGGGGAUGACGGCCUUCGGGUUGUAAACUCCUUUCGCUAGGGACGAAGCGUAUUUGUGACGGUACCUGGAGAAGAAGCACCGGCUAACUACGUG